rnacentral:lncRNA from 1 species
UGGGAGGCGUCAAAUAGAUUGAUUCCUCGAAGAAGUCACUGCACCUGAGAGAGAAAGGAAAAAUAAUACAAAGAUGAAGAAGGUUUGAAACGAAAGCUAAAAGGGAAGAAGGAAGGGGGAAUUUUGAAACGAAAAUAAAAAAUGAAACCAGAGAGAUGAAGUCCACGUCACUUUUUACCAUUUGAAAAAAUAAUUAAAAGAAACCAAUACCUUUUUGAUAUGUGACGUUAUAAAAAAAUUGUUGACUUUUAAUUGUUAACCCAUCAUGGUCCAUAGUUUAUAUUUUUGAUUGAAUUAACAACUAAAAACUAUUAAAAAAUUGAUUUAAGUUUUGACCUAUUAGUGAGUGAAAAAUGAGUCAUUAAAUA